rnacentral:rRNA from 1 species
AUUGAACGCUGGCGGAAUGCUUUACACAUGCAAGUCGAACGGCAGCACGGACUUCGGUCUGGUGGCGAGUGGCGAACGGGUGAGUAAUACAUCGGAACGUGCCCGGACGUGGGGGAUAACUACUCGAAAGAGUGGCUAAUACCGCAUACGAUCCAAGGAUGAAAGCGGGGGAUCGCAAGACCUCGCGCGUUUGGAGCGGCCGAUGGCAGAUUAGGUAGUUGGUGAGGUAAAGGCUUACCAAGCCUGCGAUCUGUAGCUGGUCUGAGAGGAUGAUCAGCCACACUGGGACUGAGACACGGCCCAGACUCCUACGGGAGGCAGCAGUGGGGAAUUUUGGACAAUGGGCGAAAGCCUGAUCCAGCCAUUCCGCGUGCAGGAUGAAGGCCCUCGGGUUGUAAACUGCUUUUGUACGGAACGAAAAGGCUCUUGCUAAUACCAGGAGUCCAUGACGGUACCGUAAGAAUAAGCACCGGCUAACUACGUGCCAGCAGCCGCGG